CAGAGUUCAAAAACUUGGCGCAUGAUAAACUUGUUCGUGCUUUCACCCCUUGCGAGGCUCGUCAGCAAGGCCACCGUGGCGUUGCACUCCCCGCAGAACAGGCCGACUUUGUUCAAAGCCAGGGAGGAACACCUAGAUCGAGGAAUUUAAUUCAAGUCGUCAUACUGGGUUAGUCUCGUGGUUCUGAGAGGAAAGAUUUCAAACCAAUUGUGAGGGUUGAGUGGGGGACAAGGAGGACUGGUGGUGUAGCAACAUAGCUUCUAACAAGAGAAGACUUGUAUCCAGUGUGUUGGGGAGUAAACUAAAGGCCUAGGCCUCUGCAGAAAAUGGAAAAAGUAAACCAAGGUGUUCACUCUGAUUGGUGUAACAUGAAUGAGAAAGAUGGGAGUGUAUCUGCUAAGACAACGACUUAUGUGAAAAAAUACCUAUUUAUUCAAGCGUUAAUCACAUGUGUGCUCUGGUGUAGAACACAUACACUAAAUACUUUUUUAUUUUUUUCUUUGAUUUACAGGAAAGUGCUCUAUAACCGAGCAGUUUUAUGUACAAAACUAAACAACCUAAUAGAAAAACUGUGAUUAACAGAUUGUCUUUUAAUCUCUAAACCAAAAAAAAAAACACGACUAGAAACGUGAAACCAUUGGUAGAUUUCGAAUGAGAAAGAUGUGGAAGAUAUGGCACACAUCAAGGAACCCUUAUGUACUC